AUGAUAUUCAAGCUGGUUCGGGCUCAUAAUAAAAUCAUUAGCAAAGAUUACUGCCAAGCUUCAGGGUCAAAGCUGAGAGACGACAGUCACCAGCACCAAGAGGAACAAGAAGAAACAGGAAAAGAGGACAAAUGGCAAGAAUCCUCUUCUAGUCAUUCAAGUUGGAGUGCAGGAGAGAAUGAUUCCCAUUCCAGGAACGUCAGAGGAAGCAUUACACACGGGCCUGAAUCCAUAUCCAGAAGACUGAGUUUUCAAAGAGACUUUUCUGGCCAAAAUAAAUCCAGCUCAGGUCAGUCUUCCAGGUAUGGUCAGCAUGAGUCUGGCUCCCAUCAGUAUUCGGGUCGCGGCAGACAUGGGUCUGGAUCUGGCCAGUCUAAAGGCCGCAGCCGACGUGGGUCUGGGUCAGGGCAGUCUCCCAGCUACGGCCAACAUGGGUCUGGCUCAGGUCGUUCUUCCAGCCAUGGCUCAUAUGAGUCUGGUUCAGGUCACUUUUCUGGCUUAGGUCAACAUGAGUCUCGCUUAGGACAGUCCUCUGGUUACAGUCAGCACGGAAGUGGCUCAGGGCACUCCUCUAGCCAUGGACAGCAUGGUUCUACACCAGGACAGUCAUCAAACUUUGGCCAGGAGGGAUCUUGCACAGGCCAGUCUUCCAGCUAUGGCCACCAUGGCUCUGGCUCCAGUCAGUCUUCCGGCUAUGGCCGACACGUGGCUGGAUCUGGUCAGUCUCCUAGCCGCGGCCGACAUGGGCCUGGUUCAGGGCAGUCUUCUAGCUGUGGCCAAUAUGGGUCUGGCUCAGGACAGUCCUCUGGUUAUAGUCAGCAUGGAAGUGGCUCAGGGGCAGGUGGGUAUUCUUAUUGCAAAGGAGGAAGUAACUAUGAAGGUGAAAGUUCUUGCUCAGAUUUUCUCAGUUUUCAUAGUAGGACUUCACCCUAUGAAUAUAUCCAAAAGCAGAGGUGCUACUUUUAGCGUUGAAUAAUAAAUAUAAAUGCA
rnacentral:lncRNA from 1 species